rnacentral:piRNA from 1 species
CUGCUUUAAUAAGUGGGGUGCUCACAUGC